rnacentral:rRNA from 1 species
UGAACGCUGGCGGCGUGCUUAACACAUGCACGUCGAACGGUGAAGGCGGAGCUUGCUCUGCUGGAUCAGUGGCGAACGGGUGAGUAACACGUGAGCAAUCUGCCCCUGACUCUGGGAUAAGCGCUGGAAACGGCGUCUAAUACUGGAUACGAGCUGCGAAGGCAUCUUCAGCAGCUGGAAAGAACUUCGGUCAGGGAUGAGCUCGCGGCCUAUCAGCUUGUUGGUGAGGUAACGGCUCACCAAGGCGUCGACGGGUAGCCGGCCUGAGAGGGUGACCGGCCACACUGGGACUGAGACACGGCCCAGACUCCUACGGGAGGCAGCAGUGGGGAAUAUUGCACAAUGGGCGAAAGCCUGAUGCAGCAACGCCGCGUGAGGGACGACGGCCUUCGGGUUGUAAACCUCUUUUAGCAGGGAAGAAGCGAAAGUGACGGUACCUGCAGAAAAAGCGCCGGCUAACUACGUG